ACCCAAUUCUAGAAACAUACUUAAGGGUGUAUCUACAAUUUAAGUUUAAAUCAACCAAAUCCUUAACUUCUAUGGGGAUAACUCAACGCUUGGUAAAAAAUGAAAUUACGUCAGCAGCAUGGUAUUCAAGAACAGCAGCAAGGUAAACCGGAGAACCGGUCCCCACACGUUGAGAGUAACGCCCUUUCUUCAAGUACCGGCCAAUUCGACCGACGGGAAACUGUCAUCCGGCUUUCACUGAACGAGAAACCGUAUCCAUCACUUCAAGUACAAAUUGGAGGAAAAGACUUAAAAUCCGAAAUGAAAUCUCGCAGUGAAAUUUUCUCGAGAAAAUAUUUGUGAUUUCGUAUCUGAUAAUUUGGAUCUAUUUAUGCGAGGAGAGAAAAAUGGGAGAUAUUUGGCUUACGGAUUUGGAGAUUUUGAGCCGUUUAAUUGGUUGUUUAAUCGACGGUGUAUAUGCAACUCGUUUGGCAAUCCUCGUGAAAUGGAACAAUCCAAUCAAGUUGAUGUAAGGGGAUAAAUAUUCACUUAACUAUUGAUUACUACAGUUCUUUUUCUGAUACUAAAAAAUUCUAUCGAUUUAAUCUUAAUUCCGUUAAAAUAAUGUUCAUUCAUCAAUCAACUUAGAACCGCAUUGCAGCAGAUAUUCCUCGAGGAUUUCUACCAGUUACCUUGCUCUCGGUCGAGUCUUUAGUAGGCCUUUUGUGCUGUCAUCCGUUCUUAUAGAAGACUCCAUUGAAGCAGGUAUCGGCCCUUAAAACCGUUAACAUUCUAUCUUAAUUCCGUGAAAAUAAAGUUCAUUCAUCGAUCAACCUAGAACAGCAUUGCAGCGGAUGUUCCUCAAGGAUUCCGACUAGUUACCUUGCUCUCGUUGGAGUCUUUAGUUAGGCCUUUUGUGCUGUCAUCCGUUCUUACAGAAGACUCCAUUGAAGCAGGUAUCGGCCCUUAAAAGGUAGCCGUGAAAAACAGGGGUUACAAUUGAAGUUGACCGCGACAUGAGUGCUCGAUGUAUACGAUCCUUUGCCAACAUUGGUAUCCCACAUGGUUAGUGGCAAAAAGCAACAGAAGUCAACGAAGAACAAAAACAAGAACAUAACCGGAAAGGAAGAACAGAAGGGCAAAACCUCCGCACGCGGUUGCGAUGCUAUAGACCCGGUAAGAUGAUUGUUAGAUUUUCAGUACGGGAAGAUCGAUUGAAGGAAUGUUAUCACUGACGAUAAUCAAUUUGAUAAAAUAAGCACAAACCCAUAUAAUCUGAAUUUCAGUUCAUUCAUUUCAAACAAAACAUAUUCUAAACAACAUUACCAACAUUUUCCUACAACCAAAGUACACAAAAGGAACCUACAUACAUUAACAGAUAAAUCAAAACAAACCCUAUAAUAGACAAACAACUAAGCCUUCUUAGGUGAUUUCUUUGGAGACUUUGUAGCCUUAGAUGGCGACUUAGGCUCUUUUGCAGCCGCUUUCUCGUUUUUCUUUGGUAAAAGAACUGGGUUAAUAUUGGGUAAAACACCACCAUGAGCAAUAGUCACACCAGCUAAAAGCUUCCCAAGCUCUUCAUCGUUUCUCACUGCUAAUAGAACAUGCCUUGGAAUGAUCCUAUUCUUCUUGUUGUCUCUUGCAGCAUUACCAGCUAACUCAAGAACCUUUAAAUAAUUAAAAAAGAAAAACAAACCCAAUCUUAAAAACAUACUUAAGGGUGUAUCUAUACUUUAAGGUUUCAAUCAACCAAAUCCCCAAAUUCAAUGGGGAUAAUUCAACGGUUAAAAUAUGCCUAUAGUCCCUAAACAAGUACAGGGACUAAUUUCAUAAUUCUUUAAAAGUAUAGGGACUAUAAGCACAUUUUAACCUAAUUCAACGCUUGGGAAAAAGUAAAUUUACCUCAGCAGCAAGGUAUUCAAGAACAGCAGCAAGGUAAACCGGAGCACCGGUUCCCACACGUUGAGAGUAUCGCCCUUUCUUCAAGUAUCGGCCAAUUCGACCAACGGGAAACUGUAAUCCGGCUUUCACCGAACGAGAAACCGGCUUCUUCUUUGGACCGCCGCCUUUCCUUCCUCCAGCUCC
rnacentral:lncRNA from 1 species